UACAGAGGGGGCUAGCGUUAUUCGGAAUUAUUGGGCGUAAGGCGGCGUAGAGCGGCCAUGCGUGUCUUCCGUGAAAUCCCUCGGCUUAACUGAGGACGUGCGGAAGAAACUGCAAGGCUCGAGUCCGGGAGAGGGGGGGGUGGAAUUCCCAGUGUAGCGGUGAAAUGCGCAGAUAUCAGGAAGAACACCCGUGGCGAAGGCGGCUCUCUGGGACGGUACUGACGCUGAAACGCGAAAGCGUGGGGAGCGAGCAGG
rnacentral:rRNA from 1 species